GGCGGCAUGGCUCAGGAGGUAGAGCAGCUAUAGGAAUGGAAGGUUCCUGGUUCGAUCCCCGGUUCCUCCA